AUGGAUGAGGUCACAAGGGAUAUACAAGGAGAUAUCCCAUGGUGUAUGCUCAUUGCGGAUGAUGUGGUGCUAGUUGACGAUAGUCGGACGGGGGUAAAUAGGAAGUUAGAGUUAUGGAGACAAACCUUGGAAUCGAAAGGGUUUAGGCUUAGUAGAACUAAAACCGAGUACAUGAUGUGCGGUUUCAGUACUACUAGGUGUGAGGAGGAGGUUAGCCUUGAUGGCCAGGUGGUACCUCAGAAGGACACCUUUCGGUAUUUGGGGUCAAUGCUGCAGGAGGAUGGGGGUAUUGAUGAAGAUGUGAACCAUCGAAUCAAAGCCGGAUGGAUGAAGUGGCGCCAAGCUUCUGGCAUUCUCUGUGACAAGAGAGUGCCACAAAAGCUAAAAGGCAAGUUCUACAGGACGGCGGUCCGACCCGCAAUGUUGUAUGGCGCUGAGUGUUGGCCGACUAAAAGGCGACAUGUUCAACAGUUAGGUGUGGCGGAGAUGCGUAUGUUGAGAUGGAUGUGUGGCCACACGAGGAAGGAUCGAGUCCGGAAUGAUGAUAUACGAGAUAGAGUUGGGGUAGCACCAAUUGAAGAGAAGCUUGUCCAACAUCGUCUGAGAUGGUUUGGGCAUAUUCAGCGCAGGCCUCCAGAAGCUCCGGUGCAUAGUGGACGGCUAAAGCGUGCGGAGAAUGUCAAGAGAGGGCAUGGUAGACCGAAUUUGACAUGGGAGGAGUCCGUUAAGAGAGACCUGAAGGAUUGGAGUAUCACCAAAGAGCUAGCUAUGGACAGGGGUGCGUGGAAGCUUGCUAUCCAUGUGCCAGAGCCGAGUUGGUUGCGAGAUCUUAUGGGUUUCACCUCUAGCCUACCCCAACUUGUUUGGGACUAA
rnacentral:rRNA from 1 species